rnacentral:rRNA from 1 species
GACAUGCAGAGAGCUUUCCAGAGAUGGAUUGGUGCCUUCGGGAACGUCUGACACAGGUGCUGCAUGGCUGUCGUCAGCCCCGUGUCGUGAGAUGUUGGGUUAAGUCCCGUAACGAGCGCAACCCUUGUCCUUAGUUACCAGCACGUUAUGGUGGGCACUCUAAGGAGACUGCCGGUGACAAACCGGAGGAAGGUGGGGAUGACGUCAAGUCAUCAUGGCCCUUACGGCCUGGGCUACACACGUGCUACAAUGGUCGGUACAAAGGGUUGCCAAGCCGCGAGGUGGAGCUAAUCCCAUAAAACCGAUCGUAGUCCGGAUCGCAGUCUGCAACUCGACUGCGUGAAGUCGGAAUCGCUAGUAAUCGUGAAUCAGAAUGUCACGGUGAAUACGUUCCCGGGCCUU